CGGGGAUACCCGAUUAUCGACUGUAAGCAAACCAAGAGAUGUCUGUUUGACAAUGUGUGUUUUCAACGGUGUAAAUGGACUUAAAAUAUGAACGAAAAGAUUAAUGACCACGACUAUGCUGUCCAGUUUUACACAGCAACACCAGUAUUCGACUCAAAACCGGAUGGAAAACAGAUUCAAGACAUUACUGUAUCACUCGAGAAGAAGUUGAAGUCUAACAGGAUCUGCUGUGUGCCCAAAUGUCACACCACUGGCUAAGGAUUGUUAGAAGGCCAUGGAAAGCCCAGCUAUCAUGCAUUUCCAGCUGAAGAUGAUCCAGUUCAAGCUGUUUGGUUGAAUAAAAUACGAAGAGAUGAAGACAGACAUUUUAAGAUAAGUCACAAUACGGUUGUCUGUUUUCUCCAUUUUGAACGUGACUGUCUUGAUGAAUCUGGAUUUGCUAAGCGGAGGUAUCUAAAACCAGGAGCCAUCCCUACACUAUUCGACUGCUGGAAGGACAAACCACAUCUGUUGAAGCGAAUUCAAGUGGAACGUGCAAUUAACAAGAUUAAAAGUUUUCACAUAUUUGAUCAGGUCAUUCUGGUUUCUCUGUUUGUGAUAAUUAAUCAAAUUUGGACAGUUUGCUCAUUGCUCACUCUUUUCCAAGACCCAAUUAUACCAUGUCCUGGUGUUUAACAUACAUACCAUUUAUAUGAACAUUUGUUGUUCGUGUACAUCAUACUACAUGUAGGCUAAUGAAAACCAUUGGCUGUUCAUGUAAUAUUUGUACAUUUUUUGGCUUUGUAUAAAGUUUUUGAUAAUUAUCUUGAUAUAAGCAUUGAUUUAGUUACAGAUUAAUGCUUAAAGAGUACUUAAAGCUACACACCUUGAAAUAAAGUACAUGUUCAUAUAGAUGCAAUUUGAAAGUGUGCAAAAUUUUCAUUAAAUCUAUAGUCUAGUUAGCAAGUAAUUUAUUAUUUUUCAAACAGGAAUAACUGCUUUUAAAACUGAAAGAAGGAUUUCUAUAUUAAACACGAUUAUUUUUAACUUUUUAAAGCGCAAAAAAAGAUGGCUUUCUACCUUGUUACCACCAGAUAUAUUCUAGUUGGCAUAAUGAAAUUAAAUCUAUAGCCUAGUUUAAUAGCAAGUUAUUUUUUUUUUCAAACAGUACUGCUUUUAAAACCGAAAGUAGGAUUUCCAGACGUACACAUCCAUUUCGACAAACGCGAUUAUUUUUAAGUUGUAAAGUGCAAAAAAGAUGGAUUUCUACCUUGUAACCACCAGAUAUAUUCUAAUUGGCAUAGAUAAAAUAUGUCACUCAUACUUAAAUUUACUAUGCCAAAUAAGGUGUGUGGCCUUUACAUAAAAAUUGUAUAUACAUCUUUUUAAUCAUGUUUGUUAAUUUGUUUUGAUUGUAUGACUACUGAAUAAAUAAUUUUGUUAAUAGAAA